AGACCCGAAACCCGGUGAUCUAGCCAUGGGCAGGUUGAAGGUUGGGUAACACUAACUGGAGGACCGAACCGACUAAUGUUGAAAAAUUAGCGGAUGACCUGUGGCUGGGGGUGAAAGGCCAAUCAAACCGGGAGAUAGCUGGUUCUCCCCGAAAGCUAUUUAGGUAGCGCCUCGUGAAUUCAUCUCCGGGGGUAGAGCACUGUUUCGGCUAGGGGGCCAUCCCGGCUUACCAACCCGAUGCAAACUGCGAAUACCGGAGAAUGUUAUCACGGGAGACACACGGCGGGUGCUAACGUCCGUCGUGAAGAGGGAAACAACCCAGACCGCCAGCUAAGGUCCCAAAGUCAUGGUUAAGUGGGAAACGAUGUGGGAAGGCCCAGACAGCCAGGAUGUUGGCUUAGAAGCAGCCAUCAUUUAAAGAAAGCGUAAUAGCUCACUGGUCGAGUCGGCCUGCGCGGAAGAUGUAACGGGGCUAAACCAUGCACCGAAGCUGCGGCAGCGACACUGUGUGUUGUUGGGUAGGGGAGCGUUCUGUAAGCCUGUGAAGGUGUGUCGUGAGGCAUGCUGGAGGUAUCAGAAGUGCGAAUGCUGACAUAAGUAACGAUAAAGCGGGUGAAAAGCCCGCUCGCCGGAAGACCAAGGGUUCCUGUCCAACGUUAAUCGGGGCAGGGUGAGUCGACCCC
rnacentral:rRNA from 1 species